CCAAGGGGAUUAAAUAUUCAAUACGUACUACGACUGGCGCUUCAUGUGAGGGGCCCAGAGGUGGCAGCAUGGAAAAGUCUGAGGCCAUGAACUAAGAAGUGCCUGAACAGGAAAGACCCUAAAGGGACCUCUGAGCCGGGCUGAUCAGCAGGAACCUCAGAACAGGCAACUAUAGCGUUCCUGCCCACAAACUCAUGCACUAGAAUAUUUGUGCAAAGCAAAAACCAGAAGAGGUUCAGACACAGUUCGCGUGGAAGUUGAAAGUUUGUGCGCCUAUGCAAAAAACAUUUUUUGGCAGUUAUCCU